CAGUGAGGGUGUGCACGUGCGGGGCCCACCGGGCCGGCAGACAGAAUCACCCUUAACUUACAACUUCUUAGCCAAAAAAGAGGCCAAUUAUUCUUGGCUCCCACAUGACCUCUUCAAAGUAUACCCUGGAAAUCUCAGAGGGCUCUUUCAAGCAGAACGAUUUAAGAGACAGAGGAAAAUAACAAAAGGGGGAUCAGACCAAGGAGAACCCUGUUCAAACUGGGCAAGAACCAUGACAGAUGAAGUCAGUGGAAUAUUUGAAGGCAUGUAAAGGUAAACAGAAUUGUCCAGAUUCUUUUCCUUUCUGAAUUAAUCAUACCACAGAGAACCCAAGUGACAAACUUUUUUCAAGAUCCUCAAGGAAACUUAAACCCAUUUUGAUCUGUUCAUAAUCAGCAACCCACUGAGUCACCUGUAUUUCUAAGGUAAGGUGAAGAUCAAUUAAUACAAUCCUAACAAAUAUUAGGCAAGUGUAUCUCCCGAAGGCACUGCAAGACAUUCCACUGCCCUAAUAUCUGCACCUUGGGACCAGAUGUGUAAAAGUUCACGUGGAAGGAGGUGGGACCAUCUCCGAGGAUGCUGUGGCUCAGAGACAAAAACGGAUGUGCCCAAGAUCACCCAGAAAGGAGAAAUAAUGACUAUCAACUUGGCUUUGAUUUUAAACAUUACCUUGUGGGCCACCCCCCUUACCCCAAGGUUUUAACUUCAGAUUGGUGAAACAAGAUCCUUAUUCAAAUGUUUUCCAAAAAAUGUUCUCCUCUAAGACAAUGCCUUUAUAAUUCAACAUAAUACGAGUGGAGUGAAGCUAGUAGGGUCCUGCUGUGUGAACCAAGGCCCAGGUGGACAACAAAAUGUUGGUGACACUUCUCCCAAUGGCACAAUGAAAUCAUUAGAUGAUGGCCUUCCCACGGAAGGUCUGCCCUAUGGGAUAUCUUGGUCCAUGCUCCCCAGAAGUCGCUCUGUCACUGGAUGCUGAACACAGCUCAUAUAUGUUUGCUUAUAUCUCAGUUCAAAUAGUACUAUGUUUUGGAUCUUCAAUGUCUCCUAAAGGCCCGUGUGUUAAAGGCUCAGUCCCCAGCUUGGUGCUAACAGGAAGUGGUAGAAACUCCACGAGGUGGGGCCUAGAGGGAGUUCUUCAAUCACUGAGAUGGUGCCCUUGAAGGGAUAUUAGGGCUCUGUCUCCUUCCUCUCUCUGCUUUCUUGUCCCCGUGAGGUGAAGAGCCAAGUUCUACUGUACACUCUCACCAGGACGUGCUGCCUUGCCACACUCUAAAGGCCGUGGGGCCUACCAACAACAGACUAAAACUACUGGGGCUGAUUCUUCAACCUUCUCAGCAGCUUGCUGCCUCGGAGUAAGGCAGGAAGAGGCAAAUGCUGAGAAUGCCGAAUGGGGGCAGAGUUGUACCAGUAAAAAGGAAUACGAUCCUGAGAACACCUACGAACCCAGGACCUUGAAGACAGAGAAUGGGGUCCUAAAUAGCAUGGGCCUCCCACUAUGCUUUGUAGUUUGAUAAGAAAAUUUCUACCACUCGGGAGCCGGGGGACACAUCUCCCUACUCACUUGGUAACAGAGUAAAUGAGUAACCAAUCAUCAGCAGUCAAGUUGUCACAGGAUGGAAAGAGGAGCUCAAGUGACAUUCCAGACAGGUGCCCGAGGGCCUGUGAAACUUGAGUUACUUAGAGUCUCUCUUAAAUAAACAACAGUCAUUGUAAACACUGGCUUCACCAAAGCCUGCUUUCACAUUCCAUCUCUCAAAUUUCCAGAAGAAUGAGGAAUAUGAUGAUAUGGUAAUAAAAGCUAGUAAUUUACCCUUUAUUCUCCAAUAGCAGCUAAGUUCUUGAUAUGACUUCUGUCACUUAAUUUUAAUAACUCAUGGUUUUGAUGAUAAGGAAUAGAAAUGGGAUUAAAUAACUUGUUCAAAUUUUCACAGCUAGAAAAUUUGGCAGCUGAAGUAGAACUUGAACCCAGUUGGGGCUAAUUCUAAAAUCCAGUCCCUACCUUGGCACCCAGAAGGGUAUUUGGUACGCAGUAUGUGUUUCAUAAAUAUUGGUGACUAAAUGGAUAAAGUGGCUAAGAUACAAGGUGUGGCCAAUCAAAUGGCAUAUUCUGUGAGCUUCAUUCUUCACCUAAAUUGGUUAAAUACAACUUAGUCAUUUAGCAUAGCAGAAACAGUCAUUAUAGUCAAACCAUGGCUUGGGGUCGAUACUUGCUACUCAGGAAUAAAUGACUCUAAGUUGGUUUGACAUUUAUUUUCUAAAACCAAUUCAGCUCUGCUCGGAUAUUUACUAAUCAGCACAAGAUGGCUACCAGAGAAGGGGCUCUGUCCCACAGCACUGCCUCUCUAUGCAAAAUACAGCAAUAGUAAAAGGAAAAAA